CAGUCCCACCCUGCCACCUACGACUGAGUACUGACCACUCCCACUCCCAGUUUGUUAACUUUGUAUUUAACUGUGCGGGCAGUGGGGCCCCGCGCUGGCAGGACGUGAAGCACUGAGAGGGAAGACAAAAUAGUGAGAGAGUACAAGAAGAAUGGCGUGUUGGUAGCCACUCAGUAAGCAAAGGUUAACUAUUCAUACACGGUUGAAGGCACUUAACUAAAGCGGUGUGUGAGUAUGUGAGGUGGUAGCAAGUCCACCCGCCCCGGAAGUGUCCAUCAGGAAACGUCAAUAAGCCAAGGAGGAUGUUAGUUCCUCGGUCAUUUUUCAUAAGUUAUGAAACUGGAGAGUGAAGACGAGUCACUGACUGACUGGCGGCGGCCGGCGGAGAGAGGACACAACACAAGGAGAGGAGAUUGUUUACAUUUCAGCCUCCAUGUGUUUUUAGGGAUGAGGAUGUUAGUAGGAUUAGGAGCAGUGAGGAGGGUGGCUGGCAGAUGUCACUAUUCCAUACUCACCAGUCAUCUGAGGCACCAGAGUUCCACACACCUUAGUCUCACACCUCUGCCUCUGCAUCAUGAACCCCGCCAUAGACUUCUCUGCACAGCUCGCCUUCUACUCUCCACCCAGGCUGCAUCCAGGUGGUUGCUGCCCAGGGAACCAGUCAGGUGCUUUCACACAGAUAGAGGGAAGUGUGACCAGGUGACCUCUAGAAUAGAAGGGCAGGGCACCACUGCCACCACCACCACUAGCUAUGUUUCCUGCGUGGUGAGGGAGGUGGUGGAUCACUGGACUCAGAAGCUUGCCAUAGAAGAGGUGCCGGAGGGGGACCUUGCUGCCCAGCAUAUCAUGGCACAUGUCCUUGGGGUCCGCCGGAGUGAGCUACAGAGGCCAGCCAUAGCAGAGACAGAGCUCAGCGAGGAACAGAUGGAGGAGGUGGACCGCCUCAUGACGUGCCGCAUUGCAAGGAUGCCACUGCAGUACAUAUUGGGUGAGUGGGACUUCCACAGCCUCACCCUCAAGAUGGCGCCGCCUGUGUUCAUCCCGCGGCCAGAGACAGAGGGGUUAGUGGAGCUGGCCAUUGGUGUCCUGAGGGAGAUGGAGUCACCGCAAGUGUUAGAGAUUGGCUGUGGGUCAGGAGCCAUCAGUUUGGCACUGCUCAAUGCCCUCCCACAGGUGGAGUGUGUGGCAGUGGACCAGAGCAGACAUGCUGUACGGUUGACGGAGAGCAAUGCAGUGCAGCUCGGUCUGAAGGAGAGACUGACAGUCGUGCUGGGGAAGGUGAACAAGGACACUCGGCCACCUCUGCCUCACUCAAGCUAUGACCUUGUGGUGUCUAACCCUCCAUAUAUCUUCAGGAAAGACCUCUUGGACCUCCAGCCAGAAAUCAUGAUGUAUGAGGACUUGAGAGCAUUGGAUGGGGGCAAGGAUGGCCUGGAGAUGAUCAAGGCAUUAGUCCUGCACGCUCAGCACCUGCUGCUGCCGGGCCGGACACUGCUGAUGGAGGUGGACCCCUGCCAUCCUUACCUGCUGCCUGCAUGGCUUGAGAAACAAAAUCUUCACCUCAAGCUGCAGAAAGUCCAUCAAGACUUCAACAACAAGGAUAGGAUCAUGGAAUUUAUUAAGGAAAUAUAGAGCUGCUUUUAGUGUCUUUGAUUUACCAAUGAGACAAGAAUGAGGUUCUGCAGCAAUAGAGUUAAGUGAAAUGUUAACCAUGGUGAGAGGCUGCCCUUCACAAGACAACUCACGUGCGAGGGAUGGUGUCUCCAGCCAGGUCUUCCAUCCCAUCAGCUGUAAUCACGAUGUCGUCCUCAAUCCUUACUCCCCCAAAGCCACGGAAACGAGCGAUGGCUUCAGGUACCAGGAACUGUGCCUGCUCAGGGUUGGCUAGUGCCUGGUCCAGCAGCUGUGGGAAGUUGUCGCAGAGUUACUGGACUAUAAGAGUCCUGGCAGUGCGCAGAGAACGGAAGCCAGCAGGUGUGGGGCGAGGUGGAUACUGCUCCAGGUAGCCACCCACAUCGUGCACAUCCAACCCCAUCAGGUGACCCAGGCCAUGUGGCAUGAACACGGAGCCAAGAUUGACCUGCACAGAAGGAAUAUCAGUCAUUAUAAGUUACAUAUCACAUAAAUGGAUGGACAUCAAGAUAUUCUGAAGACACUUUUUUUUAUCUGAAAAAUUAAAUGAAGACUUUGUACAUAACACCUAAAUUAAAUCAUAUAAGUAACA